rnacentral:tRNA from 1 species
UUGGUGGCCUUGGCGGCGGCGACACCGGCGAGGUAGGAGGCCUCGUUCUCGGCGAAGACGAGGGAGGCGACGUUCUUGCCCUCGACCACCGAG